rnacentral:rRNA from 1 species
CGAGGCUCAACCUCGGGCCUGCAGUGGGUACGGGCAGACUAGAGUGCGGUAGGGGAGAUUGGAAUUCCUGGUGUAGCGGUGGAAUGCGCAGAUAUCAGGAGGAACACCGAUGGCGAAGGCAGAUCUCUGGGCCGUAACUGACGCUGAGGAGCGAAAGGGUGGGGAGCAAACAGGCUUAGAUACCCUGGUAGUCCACCCCGUAAACGUUGGGAACUAGUUGUGGGGUCCAUUCCACGGAUUCCGUGACGCAGCUAACGCAUUAAGUUCCCCGCCUGGGGAGUACGGCCGCAAGGCUAAAACUCAAAGGAAUUGACGGGGACCCGCACAAGCGGCGGAGCAUGCGGAUUAAUUCGAUGCAACGCGAAGAACCUUACCAAGGCUUGACAUAUAGAGGAAACGUCUGGAAACAGUCGCCCCGCAAGGUCUCUAUACAGGUGGUGCAUGGUUGUCGUCAGCUCGUGUCGUGAGAUGUUGGGUUAAGUCCCGCAACGAGCGCAACCCUCGUUCUAUGUUGCCAGCACGUAAUGGUGGGAACUCAUGGGAUACUGCCGGGGUCAACUCGGAGGAAGGUGGGGAUGACGUCAAAUCAUCAUGCCCCUUAUGUCUUGGGCUUCACGCAUGCUACAAUGGCCGGUACAAAGGGCUGCAAUACCGUGAGGUGGAGCGAAUCCCAAAAAGCCGGUCCCAGUUCGGAUUGAGGUCUGCAACUCGACCUCAUGAAGUCGGAGUCGCUAGUAAUCGCAGAUCAGCAACGCUGCGGUGAAUACGUUCCCGGGUCUUGUACACACCGCCCGUCAAGUCAUGAAAGUCGGUAACACCUGAAGCCGGUGGCCCAACCCUUGUGG